GACGAACGCUGGCGGCGUGCCUAACACAUGCAAGUGGAGCGACGAACCAGGCUUCGGCCUGGGGCAGAGCCGCGAACGGGUGAGUAACACGUGGGUAACCUGCCCUGAUGAUUGGGACAACCCGAGGAAACUCGGGCUAAUACCAAAUGUGCCCUCCGACCAUAAGGUCGCUGGGGAAAGGAAGCUUCGGCCUCCGCAUCGGGAUGGGCCCGCGGCCCAUUAGCUUGUUGGUGAGGUAAGGCUCACCAAGGCAACGAUGGGUAGCUGGUCUGAGAGGACGAUCAGCCACACUGGGACUGAGACACGGCCCAGACUCCUACGGGAGGCAGCAGUGGGGAAUCUUGCGCAAUGCGCGAAAGCGUGACGCAGCAACGCCGCGUGGGGGAAGAAGCU
rnacentral:rRNA from 1 species